rnacentral:lncRNA from 1 species
GGAAAUUCUGUACAUCCAAGUUUGGCUUCAUCGCGAACUGUGAACCAGCAAAGUUUCUCUUACAGACCCAACUAUAGCAAGGCAUAUACUACUAACCUUACAUGACAUUUGUAAUUGGGUUGAUUGGGUGGGUGGGGAAUAUGCACAUAAUAAUUCAGCAACUGUGGUUGCACCUGGGAAUUGGUAUUCUAGAUUUCUAAGCUUGCAGCCUCAAUUGCUCAUUGCUUCACAGCCAUGGCUG